UACGGAGGGUGCAAGCGUUGUCCGGAUUUAUUGGGUUUAAAGGGUGCGUAGGCGGCCCUGUAAGUCAGUGGUGAAAUACUGCAGCUUAACUGUAGCAUUGCCAUUGAUACUGUAGGGCUUGAGUACAGAUGCCGUUGGCGGAAUAUGACAUGUAGUGGUGAAAUACAUAGAGAUGUCAUAGAACACCGAUUGCGAAGGCAGCUGACGAAACUGUAACUGACACUGAGGCUCGAAAGUGCGGGGAUCAAACAGG
rnacentral:rRNA from 1 species